CGUCAUGCUGGUCAUGUGAUCUGUAUCGUUCAAUGUAAUUGGCAGCGAAGGAAGGAUAUUUCCGGCUACAUAGGUUAGUUACCAUGCCAACGUAGACAGACUUGCCUCCAUCCUUUGAGACGCUGACAUUUUUUUAACCAUUUAUUCGUUUAUUGUGCAGUCUUUGUUAAAGCAAGAUACUUGUGACUAUUUACUUCAAAUAAACUGCCAGCAGGAUGUUUGGUUGUGAGGAUUGACGUUCCAAAAACAAACUUGUCCAGAGGGCGAGAGACAGAAUCAAGAAAGAUGGCGAGAUGACGAACCGCAUUGCAGAGCUGGACAGUAUCUGUGGUGAAAUGCAAAAUGCUGAGUUUGAGGGCUCCACCCAGGCUGGUUCCAUGAGGACCCUGAAGCUGAGAGAACUGACCCAGCAGAGAGAGACUGAGCUGGGAAAGACUGCUCUGACGAUGGUGAGGGAGUGGAGGGGUGCUGAAACAGGGCCCUGUCUCCUCAGCAACACUAAAAAAAGUACUUUCGGGUCACAGAAUUUCAGAAUGUCAAUAGCCUAAAUGCCCCCAAUGCAAAGCAAUGUGUAUGGAAGACAUAUUGGCUUAUAGAGCAAAUACUAUUCUAGGUGCCACAGUAGAAGUGUUGUAGGGAAUACUCAGUAGGGUCUGUAGAAUGUAUAUAUGGUGUAAUUCCAUAGGCUCUGAAUAAUACAGAUCAAGAUAGCUCAGCAUUCAACGCCAUAGUACCCUCCAAGCUCAUCAUUAAGCUUGAGGCCCUGGGUCUGAACCCCAUCCUGUGCAACUGGGUCCUGGUCUUCCUGACGGGCCGCCCGCAGGUGGUGAAUGUACUGUAUGAAAAAACGCCUCCACUUCGCUGAUACUCAACACUGGGGCCCCACAAGGAUGCCUGCUCAGCCCC